UACGUAGGGGGCAAGCGUUGUCCGGAAUCAUUGGGCGUAAAGCGCGUGUAGGCGGUUCGGUAAGUCGGCUGUGAAAGUCCAGGGCUCAACCCUGGGAUGCCGGUCGAUACUGCCGGACUAGAGUUCGGAAGAGGCGAGUGGAAUUCCCGGUGUAGCGGUGAAAUGCGCAGAUAUCGGGAGGAACACCAAUGGCGAAGGCAGCUCGCUGGGACGUUACCGACGCUGAGACGCGAAAGCGUGGGGAGCAAACAGG
rnacentral:rRNA from 1 species